rnacentral:piRNA from 1 species
GUGGUAGAUAGCGAUGAUGUUUGGAA